rnacentral:rRNA from 1 species
UGGGGAAUUUUCCGCAAUGGGCGAAAGCCUGACGGAGCAAGACCGCGUGAGGGAGGAAGGCCUUUGGGUUGUAAACCUCUUUUCUCAGGGAAGAAGAAAGUGACGGUACCUGAGGAAUCAGCCUCGGCUAACUCCGUGCCAGCAGCCGCGGUAAUACGGAGGAGGCAAGCGUUAUCCGGAAUUAUUGGGCGUAAAGCGCGCGUAGGCGGCUUUUCAAGUCAGGGGUGAAAUCCCGGGGCUCAACCCCGGAACUGCCCUUGAAACUGGAUGGCUAGAAUACUGGAGAGGUGAGUGGAAUUCCGAGUGUAGAGGUGAAAUUCGUAGAUAUUCGGAAGAACACCAGUGGCGAAGGCGACUCACUGGACAGUUAUUGACGCUGAGGUGCGAAAGCGUGGGGAGCAAACAGGAUUAGAUACCCCUGUAGUCC